rnacentral:rRNA from 1 species
AAGUCGUAACAAGGUCUCCGUAGGUGAACCUGCGGAGGGAUCAUUACCGAGUUCAUGCCCUGACGGGUAGACCUCCCACCCUAUGUUAUAUUACCUUUGUUGCUUUGGCGGGCCGCCCGGCUUCGGCCAGGCUACCGGCUCCAGCUGGUAAGCGCUCGCCAGAGGACCCUCAACUCUGAAUAUCAGUGUCGUCCGAGUACUAUAAAAUAGUUAAAACUUUCAACAACGGAUCUCUUGGUUCUGGCAUCGAUGAAGAACGCAGCGAAAUGCGAUAAGUAAUGUGAAUUGCAGAAUUCAGUGAAUCAUCGAAUCUUUGAACGCACAUUGCGCCCCUUGGUAUUCCGAGGGGCAUGCCUGUUCGAGCGUCAUUACAACCCUCAAGCACUGCUUGGUAUUGGGCUCCGCUGGCUCCAGCGGGCCUUAAAAUCAGUGGCGGCGCCGUUUGGGCUCUGAGCGUAGUAAAUAUCCUCGCUAUAGAGACCGACGGUUCUUGUCAUCAGCCCCCAACUUUCUAAGUUUGACCUCGGAUCAGGUAGGGAUACCCGCUGAACUUAA